CGUGGAAAUAGAGGAGAGAAAUGAAUAUUAUUCAAUAUAGAAAAUUAGUAUAACUAAAUAACUUCAUCAUAUGUUGGUGUGGCCAAAUUGCAUGGUUAACACGGAUUCGAAUUUGCACUUAAGCUGAGUUCAAAAUUCGAAUUCAAAUGAAUUAUAAAUAAAGAAAAACAGGAAAUAUCAAAAGAAAAAGGAAUAAGGAUCAGACUCACAUGGGCCCAAAUCAGUCACUCGGCCCAUUAAAUCCCCCCCCCCACGCGGCCCAGCCGUGGAUUCCGCGUGCGCCUGGUGUUGUUGCACGCCUGACAGAUGGGCCCGUGCGCAGUCACGUGCCCUUUGUCUCUGCCGCGCGGGUCCCGCUGGCCGGCUUUACAGGGCUCAAGCGCAUCCUUCUUCAGCCACUUACCGGUGGGGCCGUCCUGCCAUCACCUUCUUCCUUGCUCCGUGCUCCUCCCAACGGAGUCCGCUGAUAUCGCGUGGAAUCCGGACAAGAUUGCCCACCGCCCCAGCUCCAGCCUUCCUCCCUUCCUGUUCCGCACAAUCACCUGGGCGUGUCGUCCGCUGCCUCUGGUGCGUGGGCCCCGCGCCAUAGAAUCGUCUCCUACCCCAGAAACAGAACACGCAUAGCUCCGUAUGUGCCGCCGCGCGAAUUCCGCGCUCAGCUGUAACCACCGCGGAUCCUCUUCCCCCAUCGCGGACUCCGGUCCCAGCUAUAAAAUGCUCAGCCUCGCGUCCUCCUUAGGCCAUAGACUCGAACCGAGCUCGCACACCUUGUCCAGAAACAAAGAUUGGGGGGAAAAUCGGGCCGCCAUCGUGGGACAGCCACCUUGGCGUCGUCUGGCAUCCAAAAAUCGGGCUGGGGGUGUGCGCAUCAGCUCAGGGGUGUUCUCCGGUGAGACAUUUUGUGCCGUGGGGUAUGGUUCAACUGCGAUUUCUCGCCGGACAUGGGAUUCCGCCGCAGAACCACUCCUUACCGUGGCCGGUGCGUCUGGGGGCAUGGACUGCGUCAUGGGUCCCCUUGACUCGAUCGCCUUGUCACUCUCGUCGUGUUGCACCAUCCACGUCGAGGUUUGGGCGGUUGUGCGGGGAUCCUGUGGGUUGCGGCCAUGGCACCACCGCGAUGGCGACGGCGUCACCGCCUGGUCUCGGCGUGGGGAGGAAGACACACGAUCGCCGUUGAUCUUCUGAUGAGCGGGCUGGAUUAAAACAAGGUAACGCUUCGCCCGGACUCGUCCAGCGCCGUAGAUCUGGGAUCGUAGGGCCGCUGGCACGCGUAAUAUAUUAACCGUAGAUCUUGGAUCGGGCGAAUGCGAUCGCGUACCGGUUCAUUACAGUAUGGAUCUAAUCCUGACCGCUGAUUCAGAAUCCAUCGGCCGAAAUCAGCCCAUACCCCCUUCGCUGCGGCCAUUUUCAAAAAGAGCCCCUCGGCUUAUUCCGAAUCAACCCGCCGUCCUCGCGGGAGUAGGCUGAGUCUGGUAUAUUUUACAGAAUAAACCCCAACCUUCUCUGUAUUAGUGCGCCCAGUCCAGGAAGUUAAGAAAUCAGAUAAAAGGUUUUAGAAAAUGAUUUUUAAUGCAAAAAUAAAGGCUAGAAUUUGUUUAAUUCAUAAGAAAUUCAUAUGAAGUCCAAAUUAAUCCAUUCCAAUUCCUAUAAUCCUAUAAUAAUGUUGUUUAUUACCCUGUAUCUUUGUUUUGACAUGAAAAUGGUAUUAAAAUUUAUCUCUUAAUUAAUCUCGUAUCAAAUACAUAAAACCUUAGGAAAUUCAUAACUCCUCCGUUUUAACUCCGAUUUGAUCCGUUCAAGUUGUGUUAGUCUCGUAGCUACGCGUAGAUUAUUAUUAUUCAGUUUGUUCUUAUGUUUGGUGUGAUGUUAAUUUUAUCUAUACCAUAUUUGUUUGUAUUGCUACGACUAGCGCGAGGACACGUGUCAUCUGAAAAGCAAGUUGGUACCUGGAAUCUCAAGUCCCAGGCAAGUUGUGCCCUUGAUCACUUCUUUUUACCCAGCCAUGUUCUGAUUAAUCAUAAUGAUCUGCAUAGGUUAAUUUUGAUGGGACCCAAUAGGUUACCCUAGUUUGAUUAUCUUUAUACCUUGUUACCACUGAACUUUUUGGGUAGUACUUGCUAGUGCUUUAUAUGGUUUUGGGUAUGAAGAUACAUUACUCAUGAUUAUACUUUUGUUAUCCGUUGUUAUUUAUCGUUCAUGAUAAGAUCAUUAUGUUAAUUGGAACAUGGAGCGACCACCCGGGAAAACAGUGCUACCACAAGGGUAUAAUGGGACGCCCUUGGCUGAUUAAUUAGGAAAGCUAGUGGAGGACUACCUUACCCGAAAGGGGCAAGGGCAGUAGGGGAGUGGUCAGUGUAGGGAGACCCUCGGGAGGAUUUUGCUGCGAUGGUGGUCCUGCAAGGGAAUUCCUGCAUUGGAGCUUCCUAUAAACUGUAGCGGGUUUUCUGAAGCUAGUGGAACUUUGUAAAGGCCUCGUAGUGUUACCCUGCCUCGCCUCCUCGGUAGAGGUGUAUGGGAAGUCGCGAUCCCUUGGCAGAUGGGUAACAUGACUUGUGGGUAAAGAUGUGCCACCUCUGCAGAGUGUAAAACUGGUAUACUAGCCGUGCUCACGGUCAUGAGCAGCUCGGACCCUCACAUGAUUAAAUUAUGGAACUUAAACUCAAUUUGUCAUAUGCAUUGCAUCGCAGGUGAGGUUGUUACUUUUGUUCUACUAUUUAAUUGGGUUGGUAUUUACUUAUACUUAGUAAUUGCUAAUAAAAUUUUGACCCACUUUAAAAGCAAUGCUCAGCUCUAACCAUCCUCUUUGGUAAGCCUUACACUUCACGUGAGCUCCCACCUUUGGCGAGUUCAUGCACAUUAUUCCCCACAACUUGUUGAGCGAUGAACGUAUGUGAGCUCACUCUUGCUGUCUCACACCCCCCCCCCCCACAGGUCAAGAACAGGUACCGCAGGAUGAGGCGCGUGGAGGAUGCUGUGAUGAGUUCGUGAGUGGUCUAGGUCGUCGUCUCCCAGUCAACUUUGGGUUGCUGGACCGUUGUCUCCAUAUAAUGUAAUUAUUUAUUUUUGUAUAGAACUCCUGUUAUGUAGUAAAGUUGUGACAUUCGAUCCUGUGCCAUGAUUCAUCAUAUGUGUGAGACUUGGUCCCAGCACACCUGGUGUUUAUGUUCGCGCCCGGGUUUUGGAUCCCUAAAAUCCGGGUGUGACAGAAGUGGUAUCAGAGGAAUGUUGACUGUAGGACGAAACCUAGAUAGAACUGGACAACCAAUACUUACUUACCUUUGCUACUCUGAUUCUUUCUAAACUCUUCUUAAUCUUUUCUCAUCUAUUUCCGCUUUACUCUGAUUAUUCUUGCCUUUUCCUUCUAAAGACAAAUGGGGAUUUCACACUUUGAAAUCCAGUGCCUAAAGUGACUUUUAGGAAUAGGAGACCUACUCUUAGGAACAAAAAAAACAAAACUAUUUUUUUUAUCUAUAUGCUUGAAUGUUUGUUCUUGUGAUACAUGUCUGAUUUGGAUCUUUGAUUGAUUGUGAUGAGUUGUGGAGUAAUGUCCACGAUUACAUCUGCAUAUACAUAUAGGAAAAAAAUGCUUAUAAAAAAAUAUAACUAGAUAAACUAGAUAAUCCCUCAUUAAAGUAUCUAGCCUAACAAUAUCCAUCUCAUCUUGAAAGCUUCUAUCCUACACUCAUAGAUCCAUCUUAUCUUAAAAGAUACUCUAUCUUGAAAAGAUUUUAUCUCAUCCUAAUAGAUCUAACUGGCCUUAAAAGAUUCUAUCUUAUCUUUAUGGAUCCAUCUUAUCCUAAUAAGCAUACUUAUCCACCCUAGUUUAACAACCAUGAUCUAAUGUAAAUUAAUUAGAUCUUAUCUAGUCAAACUAGUCAUACCAAUCUAAUCUAGAUCCCAUCUAACCUAAUAUGAUCUAAUCUAAAGUGAGUUACUUAAUGGACCAGUUAAUACUUGUGAAAUAGAUUAGACCCUCUCCACAUGUUUUAACUUAGUUCACCCUACACUGAAUAAAGAAUGAGAGACCAACCCAACCAAUAGAGUCUUGAUGGAUUGUAUGAUCUACCUAUCCCCACCUAACAUCAAACAAACUUUUGACCUACAUCAUGUAGUCUAUCCCAUCCAUACCUAUCUUAACCAUAUUUCCCAGCCCAAUAAUAUACACUAACUCCUAAUCAAUGAGACAAGACCGAAGAAGAUGAUCAACCUCAUCAAGGAAGGAGAGAAGUCAAACUCGAUCUUCAGAUGCAUUACCACCCAUCAAGGAGUUAUUUCUCACCAUAAACCUUCUUACACCAGGAUAUUCUUGCCCUAACCUACCCAUCUUUUAUAAUAAAAUGACUAUACAUAUAGAUACCCAUGCUUUCCUAGUCACUUUCUAAAACUUCUUAUUCUUAAACUAAUUAGAAGUUAAAGGCUAAACUAUAAAUAAAGUUUUUAACAUCCCUUUUCUUACAAAUCUCGAGGACGAGAUUUUUGUUAAGGGGGGUAGGAUUUGUAACACCCAGUUUGUAACAUAUAAUAAAAGAGGAGAAAUUAAUUCCUUUAUCUAUAAGUGUGUUAUUUCUACUGACCAUCAUAUGUGAACACCCCCACUUACACAAUUAAAUAAAUACCCCAAAGACACCUAAAUAAAUCUUGCAUCAUGCUAAGUUUUUUUACUUGAUUGUGCAUUGUGUUUAAUAAAAUAAAUAUGUCAUUAACAACAUAUCAAUGGAUCCAUAAAACAUAAUUUAAACUCUAACUUGAAAAUAAAACCGUGGAAAUAGAGGAGAGAAAUGAAUAUUAUUCAAUAUAGAAAAUUAGUAUAACUAAAUAACUUCAUCAUAUGUUGGUGUGGCCAAAUUGCAUGGUUAACACGGAUUCGAAUUUGCACUUAAGCUGAGUUCAAAAUUCGAAUUCAAAUGAAUUAUAAAUAAAGAAAAACAGGAAAUAUCAAAAGAAAAAGGAAUAAGGAUCAGACUCACAUGGGCCCAAAUCAGUCACUCGGCCCAUUAAAUCCCCCCCACGCGGCCCAGCCGUGGAUUCCGCGUGCGCCUGGUGUUGUUGCACGCCUGACAGAUGGGCCCGUGCGCAGUCACGUGCCCUUUGUCUCUGCCGCGCGGGUCCCGCUGGCCGGCUUUACAGGGCUCAAGCGCAUCCUUCUUCAGCCACUUACCGGUGGGGCCGUCCUGCCAUCACCUUCUUCCUUGCUCCGUGCUCCUCCCAACGGAGUCCGCUGAUAUCGCGUGGAAUCCGGACAAGAUUGCCCACCGCCCCAGCUCCAGCCUUCCUCCCUUCCUGUUCCGCACCAUCACCUGGGCAUGUCGUCCGCUGCCUCUGGUGCGUGGGCCCCGCGCCAUAGAAUCGUCUCCUACCCCAGAAACAGAACACGCAUAGCUCCGUAUGUGCCGCCGCGCGAAUUCCGCGCUCAGCUGUAACCACCGCGGAUCCUCUUCCCCCAUCGCGGACUCCGGUCCCAGCUAUAAAAUGCUCAGCCUCGCGUCCUCCUUAGGCCAUAGACUCGAACCGAGCUCGCACACCUUGUCCAGAAACAAAGAUUGGGGGGAAAAUCGGGCCGCCAUCGUGGGACAGCCACCUUGGCGUCGUCUGGCAUCCAAAAAUCGGGCUGGGGGUGUGCGCAUCAGCUCAGGGGUGUUCUCCGGUGAGACAUUUUGUGCCGUGGGGUAUGGUUCAACUGCGAUUUCUCGCCGGACAUGGGAUUCCGCCGCAGAACCACUCCUUACCGUGGCCGGUGCGUCUGGGGGCAUGGACUGCGUCAUGGGUCCCCUUGACUCGAUCGCCUUGUCACUCUCGUCGUGUUGCACCAUCCACGUCGAGGUUUGGGCGGUUGUGCGGGGAUCCUGUGGGUUGCGGCCAUGGCACCACCGCGAUGGCGACGGCGUCACCGCCUGGUCUCGGCGUGGGGAGGAAGACACACGAUCGCCGUUGAUCUUCUGAUGAGCGGGCUGGAUUAAAACAAGGUAACGCUUCGCCCGGACUCGUCCAGCGCCGUAGAUCUGGGAUCGUAGGGCCGCUGGCACGCGUAAUAUAUUAACCGUAGAUCUUGGAUCGGGCGAAUGCGAUCGCGUACCGGUUCAUUACAGUAUGGAUCUAAUCCUGACCGCUGAUUCAGAAUCCAUCGGCCGAAAUCAGCCCAUACCCCCUUCGCUGCGGCCAUUUUCAAAAAGAGCCCCUCGGCUUAUUCCGAAUCAACCCGCCGUCCUCGCGGGAGUAGGCUGAGUCUGGUAUAUUUUACAGAAUAAACCCCAACCUUCUCUGUAUUAGUGCGCCCAGUCCAGGAAGUUAAGAAAUCAGAUAAAAGGUUUUAGAAAAUGAUUUUUAAUGCAAAAAUAAAGGCUAGAAUUUGUUUAAUUCAUAAGAAAUUCAUAUGAAGUCCAAAUUAAUCCAUUCCAAUUCCUAUAAUCCUAUAAUAAUGUUGUUUAUUACCCUGUAUCUUUGUUUUGACAUGAAAAUGGUAUUAAAAUUUAUCUCUUAAUUAAUCUCGUAUCAAAUACAUAAAACCUUAGGAAAUUCAUAACUCCUCCGUUUUAACUCCGAUUUGAUCCGUUCAAGUUGUGUUAGUCUCGUAGCUACGCGUAGAUUAUUAUUAUUCAGUUUGUUCUUAUGUUUGGUGUGAUGUUAAUUUUAUCUAUACCAUAUUUGUUUGUAUUGCUACGACUAGCGCGAGGACACGUGUCAUCUGAAAAGCAAGUUGGUACCUGGAAUCUCAAGUCCCAGGCAAGUUGUGCCCUUGAUCACUUCUUUUUACCCAGCCAUGUUCUGAUUAAUCAUAAUGAUCUGCAUAGGUUAAUUUUGAUGGGACCCAAUAGGUUACCCUAGUUUGAUUAUCUUUAUACCUUGUUACCACUGAACUUUUUGGGUAGUACUUGCUAGUGCUUUAUAUGGUUUUGGGUAUGAAGAUACAUUACUCAUGAUUAUACUUUUGUUAUCCGUUGUUAUUUAUCGUUCA
rnacentral:lncRNA from 1 species